AUGAUUCACAGCGGCGGGUCGGCGGUUAUGUAUUGUGAAGGUUGCAGUGAUGUGGAUAUUUGUGAGAUGGAUAUGGAAAUUGUGGGUGGAUUAGGUUUAGAGAGGUUUGAGCAAAGCUUUGGGGGGAGUUUUUGUAUGAGAGUUGGUGGAGGAAAGAGUAACGGUGAGGAUGAUGUCAAAGCUUUAAGCAGGGAUUACAUAUGCAACAUCAACAAGUUUUGGUAA